UAUAAAAAAGUAUCAAUUAUAAAUUCAAACACUAAUUAAAAUAGCAUAUCAAAAAAUUAUGAACUAAUAAGAGAAAUUUAUUUACCUCACACAUCUCUAUCAGACAAAUUCUCCUUUUUAUCUUGUUCAAUAUGACGUGUGAGGUUCAAGUCAUGUUUGUUUUGUUAUUUAUGUUUUCAUGUACUUCAUCACUUUAUUGAUGAUUUUUUAAGAUGUAGGUAGAUUUUCUUGACAGUGUCUACUAUAGCGGCGACAGAGGCAACACGUAGUGGGUGCUACAUGACCAAACUUAAAGGAAGAUAGGGAAAAAAAAACUUGGGAGAUUUGGAUCUUAAUACCGUCUUGAAUGAAUUGCUUAAGAGAUUAACAAUAUAUUAAAGGUGGUGGGUGGCGACCGACCACCAUAGGCUGCAGUAGCUCCGUCCUAGCCCCACCGUUGACCAUUAUUAAGUCGUCGAAACUUCGUUGUGGAGCUCCAGUCGGCCUACGAUCAACCACCACUAAUGGUUAGGGUGUCAAAAGGAGUGUCCCCAUAUCCCAUCAUUACUCUAUUAUUAGAGGAAAUGUUUGAUAAGGUUAACAUAUUACUACUAUAUUAUUAUUCCAUUCCAUGAAUAUAUAAAGUUUUAAAAUCAGUGGCUAGUUUUAAUUUGUUAAAACGAUAGAUGAUGCAUUAUUGUGUCAGGCGACAAGUACUUUGUCGUAGUUAUUAGUCAAUUAGUCAACAUUGAGCCAUUCAUUUUUUUUUUCUUUUCUUUUGUAACAAUAUGAUAACGCUAAGGAGAACAUGUGUUUAAUCUGUUUAAUCAUAUGGUUGAGACUCGAUAA